rnacentral:rRNA from 1 species
GACGAACGCUGGCGGCGUGCCUAACACAUGCAAGUCGAGCGGAGUCGAUCGACGGAAGCCUUCGGGCGGAAGAUGGUUGACUUAGCGGCGGAUGGGUGAGUAACGCGUGGGCAACCUGCCUCGAAGACCGGGAUAACAGCCCGAAAGGGCUGCUAAUACCGGAUGUGGUCAAGGAUCCGCAUGGAUUUUUGAUUAAAGGGGAAACCCGUUUCGAGAUGGGCCCGCGUCCUAUCAGCUAGUUGGUGAGGUAAAAGCUCACCAAGGCGACGACGGGUAGCCGGCCUGAGAGGGUGACCGGCCCGAGGGGCACUGAGAUACGGGUCCCACUCCUACGGGAGGCAGCAGGCUAGAAAUUUGGGCAAUGGGGGAAACCCUGACCCAGUGACGCCGCGUGCAGGAAGGAGCCCUUCGGGGUGUAAACUGCUGUCGUGUAGGGAGAAGGGUACUAAGGUGAACAAUCUUAGUACUUGACGGUACUACAGGAGGAAGCCCAGGCUAACCUCGUG